rnacentral:rRNA from 1 species
GGGGAAUCUUGCGCAAUGGGCGAAAGCCUGACGCAGCGACGCCGCGUGGGUGAUGAAGGCCUUCGGGUUGUAAAGCUCUGUGGGGAGAGACGAAUAAGACGUGGCUAACAUCCACGGCGAUGACGGUAUCUCCUUAGCGAGCACCGGCUAACUCUGUGCCAGCAGCCGCGGUAAGACAGAGGGUGCAAACGUUGUUCGGAAUUACUGGGCGUAAAGCGUGUGUAGGCGGCCAUGUAAGUUGGAUGUGAAAGCCUGGGGCUCAACCCCGGAAGUGCAUUCAAAACUGCGUGGCUUGAGUAUCGGAGAGGUUGGUGGAAUUCUCGGUGUAGAGGUGAAAUUCGUAGAUAUCGAGAGGAACACCGGUGGCGAAGGCGGCCAACUGGACGAAUACUGACGCUGAGACACGAAAGCGUGGGGAGCAAAC